rnacentral:rRNA from 1 species
AGCAGCCGCGGUAAUUCCAGCUCCAAUAGCGUAUAUUAAAGUUGUUGCAGUUAAAAAGCUCGUAGUUGAAUUUCGGGAUCAGUUCGCUGGUCGUGCCUCUGGUAUGUACUGGUGUUACUGGUUUCUACCUUCUGACGAACCGUCAUGUCAUUAAUUUGGUGUGGCGGGGAAUCAGGACUGUUACUUUGAAAAAAUUAGAGUGUUUAAAGCAGGCUCGCGCUUGAAUACAUUAGCAUGGAAUAAUGAAAUAGGACGUUCGAUCCUAUUUUGUUGGUUUCUAGGAUUGACGUAAUGAUUAAUAGGGAUAGUUGGGGGCAUUAGUAUUCAAUUGUCAGAGGUGAAAUUCUUGGAUUUAUUGAAGACUAACUACUGCGAAAGCAUUUGCCAAGGAUGUUUUCAUUAAUCAAGAACGAAAGUUAGGGGAUCGAAGACGAUCAGAUACCGUCGUAGUCUUAACCAUAAACUAUGCCGACUAGGGAUCGGAUGAUGUUAUUUUUAAUGACUCA